rnacentral:lncRNA from 1 species
AUGCAUAUCAGCCUACCUCACUUAGCAUAUCAGUACAUUCAAAGUACUGACACAUACUUUUCUUUUGUGGUAUUAUGUCUUUAUCAUAGGUUCAGACGCACGGGCUCCUAAUCAUACUUAGCAACCCAGAUUUUCAGCAGCAGAUAAUAGUGGUAGGUCCUCAUAGUCCGGGGACAGAGUUAUCAUUUCAGUAAUUCAGUAUUCAGUACAUUCAUAAGUCGGAGUUAGUUGGGGACUUGUCCCAUCAACUUCAUAUUCAGAUAGUUAGAGGCUAUCAGACUAGAUUAUUUCAGACAAAUGUUCAAUUUUCAGUAUUUAUUUAUCAGUAUUUAGUAUUUGUUUUUCAGUGAUAAACCUUAUGGAAACUUCAUCCUAGUUUUCACGUUUAUUUCAGUAAUAUUAUUCAGUGCUCAUAGCAAGUACCAGUCAUGGAUUAGCUUAUGAUCCUUUAGGAUUAUUAGCACCGUGUGACGUUCGGGGUGCAAAGUCAGAGCGUUACAAGAUCCUUAUAAAUGUUAGCAAGUACUGCAGGGGCAAGUGCCAUUGAGUUUCCUUGAAAAAGAUGACAUGCAAUAGGGAUAACAGCUUGUAUUACCAUCGGAGAAUUUUUAGGGGAAGCACAAACUUCAAUAGCCAAAGGGAAAAUACGCAUCAUGCUCCAAAUGAUGAUUACCACCUUUUCAUUUAAAAAACUCCAUUCAGGCAUGAUGAUAAAUAUUAUUAUAUUUUUUAAUACUUUUAUAAACCCCCUUAAGACUUCUUUCCAAUUUAACAUACUCUUCCGUCUUCAAAGGGUUCAAAAUAGAGUGGCCUAAGACACGGAAACCAGCCAAAACUGUCAUAUCUUCCAAAGCAACCGUUGAUUCUCCCCAUGGAAAAAUAAAUGGUAUUCUCCAUACACCAUCUCUUAGCAAUGCUAUAAUCAAAUCAUUAUGAAGAUGAAUCUUGAAGCUAAAAUGGUUUCAUAGAUUCUAGCUUUUUCAAUGUAUCUUGGUAUAGAGCUUUUUACUUAUCAACCGAAUUAGACCAUCCAUUCAUGUGCAUAACCCCAAACCCUGCACAAAACUUUUACUGAACUUGUCAUCAGUUCUUAAAUUUUGGAUCUUGAAGGGACAAAUGGGAGAUGUUUGGCAGAGGGUUUGGGAAAUGGGAAAUUUUGUGCUGGGGGUACUGUUGGUUAGAGAAACUGGGCAACUCUAAAAAUUGGUUUUACUUGCUUAUCACCAGGUGAAGCCAUCAGCUCCUCUCUUUCUUCUAUGAUUGUGAAUUCUUCUGAUGAAUGCACCAUUGUUAGUUGAUGUGUAGAGAAUUGAAAUAUUAUAAUCGGAGAAACUUUCUGCUAGUCCAAGAGCGUUAAGAUUGGAAGAGGAAUCUAGAAAGGAGAAUUGGGUUAAUCUUGGGUUGGUUACAAAUGACUCAAAGGUCACCUCUAUUUAUAAUUGCGUAGAGAUUAUUCUAGAUUCAAAAGAUUCUGAUACGACAUGAAAACGAGAAGCACAGUUAUGCAUUAAAUAUUCCAGUGGAGACAAAAAGGAGACACAACAACCACAUUUUCUAACAAAUGAUUUUUCCGUGAGAGAAAUUAUAGAUGCAG